GGCCGCCGCUGUCCUCUUCCUGUCGCCUCGGCUCACUCCUCCCAUCUCAGCUCUCUCCUCCCUCCAAACCCUAGCCCCGCACGCCGCCGGUCGCGCGGCUCCGCCUCCUACUCUCCUCCUCCCCUUGAAGCCCGAGCGCGUCUGACCGCGGGGUGGCCGGCGGCAACGGGCGAGCGGGUGCGGCUGGGCGCGCCGAGCGGGGGCCGGUGUGGCAGGCGAACAGCGGCAGCCGGAGGCGAGGCCAAGGGCGGGCGAGCAGCAAGCGCACGGGGCUGGCGAGGCGGCGCGGGCGCGGGCGCGUCUGCGGGCAGCAACGGCAACAGCGCGCAGCAGCAGGCAGCGGCGACCGCGAGCGCGCGGGGCUGGCGAGGAUGCGGCAGCGUGGCAGGGCGGCGAGCAACGGGAAGUAGCAGGAGCUCGCCACGCGUGUGGAGCUGCGUGGACCAGCGGGUCGACGCUCCGUGCUCUCCCUACGCCGCAGCAGCCUCUUCGCGUCUCCCCGCCCCUGCCGCUGCCGGUGACCCCUGUGCCCCUUCUUCUCCGUGCUCGGCCACCCUGCGCCACUGCUGCACCUGUCGCUUCUCGCUCCGCCUCUAGACUGGGCAUGUGGAGCGCGGCGCUGUCGCCAUUGUCCUUGACGUACGAGGAGCGCUGGCUGCAGAGAAGGCCAUCCACGGUGCCGUCGCCCCACAACAGAGAAGGUCGAGAAGGAUUCUGGGUGGUUUGGCCUAUCCCUUAUGCUUUUCCUUUUUCCCUUUUCGAUUUACGCUUUGCUGCUCUUCGAUUUGAUCCAUUAUAGUGUUGUAGCUGCAAGUGUUGGACUGGUCGUUCCUCUAACCGGAGGCCUUGCGAUGGUUCUGUUGGGUUCAGGUAAAACCCGGCAAUGAACUUUGGAGUUAGUAUCCUCAAGUUACUUUUUAACUGCAUUACUAGACAGCGGUUGGCUUUCAGUUACCAGGCUUUUCAGGUUUUGCUGCUGUUAAUUGUAUUUGGUAAGUUGCCUCUCAUUGUGCUUGUUGUCGGAACCAGCAACAGCAGAAGCUUGCCUGCUGCCCUACCUCUUCAGCAAUCUGAUGGAUUUACAGGCUUGUUUGUUUCAUUGGUGGCUUGCUGCUCGGGUUCUUUGUUGAUUUUGUUGGAUGUGUGUGUUGUUUACCAACAAGGAGCUUCAUAAGGGUUGCUCACCAAUGAACUAGAAGAUUGUUUUGUCCUGGGCACUCACACGAUUAAGGAAGAAAUUGGUUAUUCCUGGAUGUGCUAUGCAGAUCAAAGAUUUUGCAGGUUAUUUAGCCAUUCCCGUGCUUCCAAAGCAACUCAUGACCCCUCUUAUAACUCUGCCUGCAAUACUUAGGUGUUACAAUAACAGUUUGACCAUUUUUGCCUUAUAAUGAGAGUCCUUUCACUAUUUUGGAGAUUGGUGCAUUCUUUCUGCAGUUUAACACCUGCAUUGGUACUUUUAACCUUUCAUUUAGCGAGUUGACAAGGUCAUCGUGUUAGAUUGCGCAGAGCUUCUGAGGCCAUCUAAAUAUAUUCCAUGCACUGAAUGAAAGCACGUACCUUGUUGUGACCAGAAACUGAAGUGAGUAUAGCCCAAGUCGACUCUGGCUUUUUGUGACCAAAAACUGAACUGAGUAUAGCCCAAGUCGAUAUUUACCUAUUCUGUAGUGCAGACCAGCAGCUGAGAAUGUUCAUUAGAUGUUUUGUUCUGUUCCAAACGCGCAAGCAACUUGCAGGGGGGUCCAUUUCUUAGAAACGCGUCGUCAGUUAACUAUAUGUAUGCUUAUUUCAUAAUGUAGACUAGCAGCUUGGAAUUUCUAAUCAGAUGAUUUGUUUAGUUGUUUCCAAAUGUGCAGGCAACUGGAAGGAGAAUGCACAUCUCUUGUCAUUAUGUUGUACAAGCUCAUGUGGAAUUCAAUUUUAGGUUGUUUGAUAUGGUGCAAGGGCAUGCCCUAAAUGAGAGAAAGAACCAACACAAGGGGAGGAGCAGGGGUCAAACAACCGAUAUCUUGGCAAUCACUCUAUUUCUGACUUUCUAUGUUAUUGUUUUCAUUCGUUAUGAGGAAGGGGAUAACCAUCUGAUUCGGAUAUACAAAAUUGUGUAUUAAACCAUUUAAUCAUAUUGACCUACUGGACUAUUACCUUGUGUGAAGUUGCUUACCAUGGGCCUCUAUUCCUAUAGUAGACUUCUAAUUUCAUGAUGCUACUGAGUUUACAAUUGAAGUUGCUUACCAUGGGCCUGUAUUGCUUUUCUAAUUUCAUCAAUUGAGUACUUUGAUGUUUCAGAGUUUAUACCAUGAGUGCAUCUGCAGCAAUUUGGUAUCUGGUUUUAUUUCAUUUUCUUACAAUUCACAAUAAGCCUUCUCGAAUAAAUCACAGUGUGACCUAAUCUUACGUGAUUGGAUGUCGCCUAAGUAUGCUUCCUGCUAUUUUUUACACUAUUGUUAACGCCAAACUGUUGUCAUGACUUACUGGUGAAAUUUAGAAGUGAUAUAUCUGCGCAUAUAUACGGGUAUUUAACAUAACAUGAUCUGCAUGUUCUGAAUCUGCAGUUCUGCACUAUGCUUUGCUGGAUGUCGCCUAAGCAGAGGAUGCGGCAGUCUUGGCCACAUUUGGUUUUCAUAAGCUAAUAUGGGUUUCUUUCCCUUUAUUCUUGCAAGAUAUGGUUCUUUGUUGGUUCAUUCGACCAUGCUGUUAACCAACAAGGCCUCUGAUCCUGUCUGUAGUGUGCGGCUAGGUUGUUCCUCCGCCUGGGUCGUAGCUUCUUUCCUUUCUGCCGAUGGCAGGUACAAGACUCGAGCAAUGGUUAACGGGCAAGCACUAUAUACACCAUUCAUCUAUGCUAAUAUAAUCCGUCUUUUAAAGCCAAUGUAUGCUAUCACCAAGUGAUCUGAAUAUUUUGUUUCAAGCAUCAAGCUUUCAUGUAAUGGAAUAUAAGUAUCUUUAAGUUGAUUCUAAAUCAAUCUCAUACACAUGCUUUGAAUGCUUGGCUCGCUCUUGCUUUUUGUGCCAUGGUCAAACAUGGAGCGAUGACUCUGUCUAAUGUUUAUCACUUCAUAGCGCCUAUAUGUGACUAUCUACUUUCUUUGCUAAUAACAUUGUAAAUAAUUAAUCGUAAGCUUCUUAGAACACUAAGUACCAUCACUAAGCAUCUAUCUACCAGCAAUAGGUACUUAUUUUCAUAUGUUUCAAUAUGUGCCCGAAUAAUAUUAAUGUACACUCUUUCAAUACAUGGCAUACUCUCGGUCUUUGCGCCAUUGGCGCAACCAGUCACCUAGUAGUAGUCGAGGGAGAUAGCUCAUCGAAAGAUGACGCAUCAGAAGAAUUCACAAGAUGUGGACGACUAGUUUAGUAAAGAAGAGGAUGAGGAUGGGGAUGAAUCACCUGGGAAGCCUUAGGGGACGAACGAGGUUGGGAAGCCGCAGAUGACGAUAACGUGCGGUCUACAACAGUCGUACAGGAAGACACAUUGGAAUGGAUGGACAAGGGCAAUACAUGAGUAAUAGGUGUAUCGGCAAAAGCCAGGAAAGAAAUGUCCUCAAUGAGAGAGGCCGAAGGAGAGAAUUGACGUGGAUAGAAAGGACGAGGCUCAUCAAAAGUCGCACCCCGAGAAAUGCUUAUCCGCCGAUCGAUACGAUCCCAACACUGAUAGUCCUUGUGCUCAUCAGCGUAACCUAAGAAGAAACAUUCAAUAUACUAAGCAACCAGUUUGAGGGGGCAAGAACAUAUUAAUCGCAACAAAACAAAGGAAGCGUUGUGUAGCCAUGAGAACGACCAAAAAGACACUCGAGAGGAAUAUAGCCCUACAAAGCAAGGAAGGUUGGUUGUUGAUCAGGUAGGUGGAUGUAGAAAUAACCUCAACCCAAAAGUGACCUAAGAAGACACAUUCAAUAUACUAAGCAGUCAGUUUGAGGGGCAAGAAGAAUGUAUUAAACGAAACAAAACAAACGAAGCACUGAGUAGCCAUGAGAACGACCAAAAAGACACUCGAGAGGAAUAUCACCCUGCAAAGCAAGGAAGGAUAACUGUUGAUCAGGUAGGUGGAUGUAGAAACAACCUCAACCCAAAAGUGAGGUGGAAGAGAUGCGUUGAUCUUCAAUGCACAAGCUGCCUCAAGAAGGUGACGAUGCUUAGCAAACAAUUCUGAUCAUAAGACCAUGACAAGAGAACUGAGAAAGUGCGCCCUGCAAGGAAUCCGCUUAAUAAAUGAUUGAUAAACUCACAUGCAAAAUCUGCAUGGAAGACACAGGAAGGAGUGGAAAACCGGGUAUGAAGCAUGGCGGCAAACUUCUUACUGAUAAGACCUCGCUAGAAGAAAAGCAUAAAAUAUAUCCAUGUGUGUUCGAGAGAAAUCAUAUAUAAAGAUGAUAUAGUAGUGAUUUCCUCCUUUUGAGGCAAAGGGACCUGGACCCCAAACAUCGAAGUGAACAUCUUGUGAAUUCUUUUGAUGCGUCAUCUUUCGAUGAGCUAUCUUUACUAUGAGGGCGAUGAGACACAAUCUCACUAUGAGGAUAAUGUAACUUAACCUGUUUGCUAAGCUGACAAACUGACAGCCUAAAGACACACCGCCAGAGACAGAUCCAAGAAGACCACGUCGAACUAAGGAUGAGAGACUAGAGCCACACAAGUGACCAAGACAAUGAUUCUAAAAGAACUGGUAAAGAAAGUAACCAGGGCAGAGAGACUGGCGGCGGUGGCAGGAAAGGGAAGGUUAAGCCAGAUAAGCACCUAGAGGACCUGGGAAUUAUAACGUCGAGGGCCAACACCAAGUAGAGCAUCCGUGUAAGGACUCUAAUCAGAACAUGAACAUGAGAAUCUGGAGGUCGAAUGGCUGACAAACUGGAAGAAUCAUAAGUUAUAUGAAAAUACAUCCAGUACCAAGGAUCCAUGGAGAUGUACCUGGUUGUGUAAAAAGUCGUCACUCGGUACAAGAAAAAUUUACCUUAUAAAGGAUGAAGGGGUUGUUAGUCACGACCAAGCCAUCCACGUCGGCUAUGAACACUUAGCAAGCGGGCAGCGAGCGCGAGCAGGUAGCGAGAGAAAAAGGGUACACGUGCGCUGCGAGAGAAAAUAUCUCGUCUCUCUCCCGAGCGGGCAGCGAGAGAAAAAGGGUACACGUCCGCUGCGAGAGAAAAUAUCUCGUCUCUCUCCCUCCUCCCUUCCCGUCGCCUCCUCCUCUUCCCCAUCCCUCACGGCCUCCUCGCCCCCUCCGCCUUCAGCACCUCUUCCUCCCCUUCCUCUCCUCCUUCCCUGCCUCCGGUUCCAGGCAUGGAGGGAUGAACCCGGAGAGCUGUAGCCGGUGGAUGCCGCGACGUACGGGGAGGCGAUGGCGAAGGGGAGUUUCGGUCAAGUGGAAUCUGAUGGGUUGCAGGGCGAGGAGCAGGGAGUAGCCUGGCGUAGAUACAGAAUAUCGGCCUCUCCCCACGACCCACCUCUCCCACCAGAGCACAACUAGUCAUCUAGGGUUUGGAUGGGUCUGGGUUCCUACAACGAUGGCAGCAGAGGCGACAAAGACCACUUUGCAACCUCGCCGAACUGUGUUACUGAACUGAAAGUUUAGGGACGGCAGUAGUUCUACCACCGAUGGUGUUGCAUGUAAGCUGGAUGUUCUCAUUGUUCUGUUGGCUCUGAUCGGUGAUGCAGGAUGUGUGAGGUACAACUAUCAAAGUGACAUUAAUUUUGGUUUUGCUUCCUAUCUGCAGCCUCUUCUACACUAGAAAAGGAAAACACUCGACGAUCUGGCUCUGUCUCAGGUAUAUGCUCCCUCGCCCGCAAGAUCCGCUCUCUCCCAUCUAUGCAUCACGGCAGCACUUCAGCUCCUCUUGUGGAUUCUCACCAGAUCAGGCCACCUCACUCACCUUCAGUUGUCAGGACCUCACCGGCAGAUCCCUCAGCUAUCAGGGAAAGCAGCCAUCAGCGGAGAUUGAGGGUGCCUCUCCGGCAAGAGUGCUCGUGUCGUGGUGGUUUCCCACCAGCAGCAUGGGGGAGGCGGUGUCCUCUGCAGCUAGGUCUACUUGCUGGCGACCUCACCGUCACCAGCCCAUCUGCAGUCUAUGCUGGAUGCUCGUCAGUGAGCCUGUCAACAGGAAAGGGAGAGGGUAGAAGUUGAGCGAACCCAUGGAUUGAAUGAGGUUUCAGUGGUGUCGAAUCGCACCAUGAUCAGAUACAUGCUGUGAAAUCAUAUUUUGCGUGGGGGCGCCAACAAGCCUGCCGACAGCAAUGUCACUUCCAGAGUUCCAGUGGCUGUAGCAGCCAAGAAGGAACUACCUAUUGCCGGCGGGGCUCAAGCGGUGUCACUUUCAGUGGCUAUAGCAGCCAAAAAAACCAAAACCCCUCUAUAUUCUGAUGGCAAAUCUAUGUAUGAAUUGCACGUGGCAUCACAUAAAUUACCAUUCGAGAUAAGUUCCAGUCUGCAGAUCUCGGGGGACAGUAUGGCUGGAAUACGCUUGGUAACAGGGAGCAUUACCACUGCUGUGUAGUAAGACCGAAUCAAAUUUAAGGGAGUGAAUUGCAAAAAACCACCACAUUGAAGCCUAGGGUUGCAAAAAAGACUCUUCUACGUUUUUGUGCCAGAAAACACUGAUUUCGCGCAUAAUCAUUUGCAGAAAACACCAAACCACCAAACCUUCUGUUGGGGCAUUUUAAGCACUAUUAUGACAGGUGGGGCCCGAUUUUGGGGACGUGGCGUCAUGGCCGUGAGCUCACGCCGUCUAACGGCGUGGCGGCCGCUACUGCUCCGGCGUGUGGGUAAAAACAAGUUCGAUCCAGCUCUCUCCUCACACUCUCACCUCUGCCUCGCCCUCUCCUCACUCUGUUCUUCCUCCCCGGCGCCGCCAGACCGCCGACCGUCGUUCUGCUGCUCCCCGGUGCCAUGGUGUCGUGGAGCAACGAGACCAGUGAGGAUUCAGUCCUGAACAUCUCCUCCUCCUGUGAUGGCAUCAUCAAGCUUCCAGCUAUGAUGCACGAUCCGAAUUUCAAUGGUACUGACACAAAUGUGAAUGUGUUGUGUGAACACGGUGAGCCGGCCGAACGUUUUGUAGCAUUUGAAUGGAUGCACACGGGCAGGAGGUUUAUUGGAUGUGCUAAGAAGGAAGGCAUAAACUGUGGAGUAGUUCAAUGGAUUGAUUUUGAAUGGCCAGACUCAAUGGAGGAGGCAUUGGCCAAGCUAUGGGAUAUGUAUGAGGAGACCAAGUCAGCUAGGACCAAUGACAAUCUAGAGAGUUCCGUUGCAAUUCACAACCUGACAGAAGAGAAGAAGAAACUAUAGGAGAACUAUGACAGUUUGUAUGCUGAUGUGAAUGCUCUUUUGAAUGCUUAGCAAGAGAGGUGUGUGGAGUUAACCAAUCAAAAGGAGCAGAAGCAAUAUCUUGAAGUGAACAUUGCUGAGCUUGAAACUGUAGUUGGCAACUUGAAGGCAGAGUUGUCAAAGAAAGAGGAGGAGAAGAAGAAACUCAAGGAGAACUAUGUCAGUUUGUAUGCUGAUGUGAAUUCCCUCUUGGAUGCCCAGCAGCAGAGGGGUGUGGAGUUAAACAAUCAGAAGGAGCAGAAGGAAUAUGUUGAUGUGAAGAUUGUUGAGCUUGAGACUGUAGUGGGGAACUUGAAGGCAGAGCUGUCAAAGACAGAGGAGGAGAAGAAGAAGAUGCUGCUAAACUAUGAAACUCUGAAGAACCUGACAUGUGCUCAAGCCAAUGUGAUUAGGAACUUGAAGUUCAAUCAUUUGAAGGAGGAGAGGCUCACAAAAGAGAAGCUUAAACUGCAGUAUCACAUUUCUGAGCUACAAAAGUCUGAGGAAAAGAUAAAGUUAAAGCUUCAGGGUGUGAAGGCCAUCUUAGAUGAGUAGGGUGCCUUCUAGUAUGAUAAUCAUCUACCAGUUUAUAGAUGAUAAUCUUCUAUCCAGUACUUAAGUAUGAACUUGUGACACAAGUACUUCAGUGAUGAAUUUGUGAUCUAUGGUGUUGGAUCCAGCAGUGUUGUAAUCUAGAUGAUAAUCAUUUAUUAAGUACUUUAGUAUCUAUUUUUGAACCUUUGUCUAUGUAUUUUGUGAGAUCAGGUGUUGGAUCCAACCUUGAUGAACCUUUAUGAAUGUGAGUGCACUUUGAUUGUCA